ACUGUUAGAGAUUUAUUCUCUGUUAAAAUACCUAGCCGAGUGCUCUGGUUGUGUCAGGAGGAUUGCUUGAUCCCAGGAGUUCCGGGCUGCUGUGCACUAUGCCGAUUAAGUGUCUGCAUCAAGUUCAGCAUCAGUAUGGUGACCUCCAGGUUGCCUGACGACUGGUGAACCAGCCUAGGAUGGAAAUGGGCAGGUCAAAACUCCUAUGCUGAUAGUGGUGGGAUUGCACCUGUGAAUAGCCACUGUACUCCAGCCUGGGCAGCAGUGAGACCCUGUCUCUU
rfam:Homo sapiens chromosome 17, GRCh38 reference primary assembly.